AUUGAACGCUGGCGGCAGGCCUAACACAUGCAAGUCGAACGGCAACACAGUACAGCUUGCCGCUUACCUGUCGCGUGUCGGACGGGUGUGUGAUGUAUGGGAAACUGUACGUUGGCGGGGGGUAACUCCUGGAAACGGUAGCUCAUACAGCAUAUCGUCGCAAGACCAAAGAGCGGGACCUCCUCGCACCUUGCCAUCGGAUGUGACCCGAUGGGAUUAGCUAGUAGGUGGGGUAACGGCUCACCUAGGCGACGAUCCCUAGCUGGUCUGAGAGGAUGACCAGCCACACUGGAACUGAGACACGGUCCAGACUCCUACGGGAGGCAGCAGUGGGGAAUAUUGGACAAUGGGCGCAAGCCUGAUCCAGCCAUGCCGCGUGGAUGAAGAAGGCCUUCGGGUUGUAAAGUACUUUCGUCGGGGAUGAAGAGAGGAAGGUUAAUACCUCGGUGCAUUGACGUUACCCGCAGAAGAAGCACCGGCUAACUUCGUG
rnacentral:rRNA from 1 species